rnacentral:rRNA from 1 species
CCUACGGGUGGCAGCAGUGAGGAAUAUUGGUCAUUGGCCGGAAGGCUGAACCAGCCAUGCCGCGUGAAGGUCAGUGCCCUAUGGGCGUUAAACUUCUUUUGUGCGGGAGCAAUAAUGGUCACGUGUGGCCAGACGAGAGUACCGUACGAAUAAGCAUCGGCUAACUCCGUGCAAGCAGCCGCGGUAAUACGGGGGAUGCAAGCGUUAUCCGGAUUUAUUGGGGUUAAAGGGUGCGUAGGCUGGGCGGUAAGUCAGCGGUGAAAUGCCCCCGCUCAACGGGGUGAAGUGCCAUUGAUACUGCCUUGCUGGAAUGCGGAUGCCGAGGGAGGAAUGGGUGGUGUAGCGGUGAAAUGCAUAGAGAUCACACAGAACACCGAUGGCGAAGGCAUCUCACGAAUCCGCGAUUGACGCUGAUGCACGAAAGCGUGGGUAUCAAACAGGAUUAGAUACCCUGGUAGUC